AGGAGGGAGGAGGGAAGGCCAUGGGGAGCCGGGGGCUGCUGCUGCCUGGCAGGUCCUUGUGCCCAGGGUAGGGAAGUUUCUUAUUUCUCCUGCUCUGACUUCCCCCUUUGAUUUAUUAUAGCCAUGAAAUGCUCUGCUCUCUUCUCUUUUCCCGGCUGUCCUCGGGGCUGGCGGAGCACGGGCCUCCCCAGGCACGGGGCCUCUGCGUUGCCGCACUCCCAUCUCCUUCCAAGGGUUGAGGCCAGGUGGCCAGAAAUGGGAGGCGCCGGACUUGCUACUGCCGAUGUGGAAACAGGGGCAGCUGCGGCCCAGGGUGGCUCUGGGCUGGGCACCCCGACCCUGCGCGGAGGGGCCUAAGGAGGCCUGCCAUCCCGGGCCCCAGACCUGGGUGGUGGAUGGCCUGAGCUCAGCUAUUGCAAGAAGCAGAGGGGAGAUGACUUUGCUUCUUGUUGAGUUUGCUGACAGCGCCUGACCUCUGGAGGAAGAGUUGCUUUGCACGGAGGCCAAGGCAUGAGCCCCCUGGGAACUGACCAGUCCACUGACUGAGUUCCGGCACCCUCUUGGUCUAGGAGGUUCUGGGACACCCAUCUUGCCCACAGAGCCCCUAAACCUCAAGGCCUGCACAACACAGAAAGCACAAGGACUGGUUCCAGCCAGAAAGGGCUUGGGGCUCCCAAGACCCUGAGGCCCAGACUUGGGGGCCAUCAGGCCAGGCUAGCCCCCACUGUCCUGUCCCCUGCCUCGGUGCCCUGGGCCAGCCCAAGUGCUGAGUUGGCGGCUCAGCAGCUGCUUCUGCCCGCGGAGGCCCAGUUAUAAAUAAGCCCAAUAUGGCCAAGUCAUCAAGUUCUGUCCCAGCUGCAUUACCUCAGUGACCACAGGUCGGGGCUGCCCAGUGCUGGGCCCACCAACCCUGCCCACCCAGGCGAAAAGCCAGGCCAGCCUCCCUGACUCCUGGGGUCCUCAAAUCCAGGGUUUGAGCAUCUACAGCUACUCAGACCUGGGCCUCCCUGGACACAGGCCACAGAAGGGGCAGGGCCCAUCCCGCCUGCACGGAGCCAGCAGCUAUUUACAAACCGAAACCGGGAGAAGUGAAGUGGCUGUGGCAACGUGGCUCCAGGCCCCCAGCCCCCACUCCCACUCCAUCCCCAGCAGCCCCACCCCCCUCCCCCCAUGGCUUCCUCUUUCCUUCUCCACGCAGCUCCCCAGCCUCCCGCUGCCCGGCCAGCUCUGUCUGGACAACCUGCAAACACCUCACGGUGACCCCCAGCCCCACAGUCACUGGCCAGCGGGCCCCCUUCUCCCCUUCACCCCCCAGGACCCCGUUGUCGGUCUGGCCUCCUCGGAGCAGCCGCUCCCACCCGGACCCAGCCCACUCGGGCCUGCCCGAGGCACAUUCCCACACUUCUCAGUUCCCCUUCGCGCUUGGAAAAGCUCCAGCGCCAAUGGCCGCCACCGUGGUACCCGUCCCUCCUGAGGAUGGCUUCUCCGGGCACCCUUACCCUCCACGGGAGCCAAGGAGUCUGGGCCCUUCGGGGACACUCUGGGCACCUGGGGACCUCAGAGGGCAUGUUUCUGGACCGAGGACCCAGCCACUACUCUCCUUGAGGCGAGCUUCCACUCACGCCCUGGGCUGGUGUGGGGCAUAGGCCGUCAUGCGGUGCCGAGCGAACUGGGACAGACGGACACCGGGCCUGAGGCCACAGCACAGCCUGCUUGGGAACCGGCAGGCUGGAGGGCCCUGCAGCAGGAGCCUGCUCCCAGGACAGAUGACAGGCGACGCAGCACUCAUUGCUAAUAACAGCCUCCCUCACAUUGGGGCAGAGGCUCACAGUUUA